rnacentral:rRNA from 1 species
GUGAGGAAUAUUGGUCAAUGGGCGCAAGCCUGAACCAGCCAUGCCGCGUGCAGGAAGACGGUCCUAUGGAUUGUAAACUGCUUUUAUACAGGAAGAAACACCUCCACGUGUGGAGGCUUGACGGUACUGUAGGAAUAAGGAUCGGCUAACUCCGUGCCAGCAGCCGCGGUAAUACGGAGGGUGCACGCGUUAUCCGGAUUCACUGGGUUUAAAGGGUGCGUAGGCGGGCAGGUAAGUCAGUGGUGAAAUCCUAGAGCUUAACUCUAGAACUGCCAUUGAUACUAUCUGUCUUGAAUAUUGUGGAGGUAAGCGGAAUAUGUCAUGUAGCGGUGAAAUGCUUAGAUAUGACAUAGAACACCUAUUGCGAAGGCAGCUUACUACGCAUAUAUUGACGCUGAGGCACGAAAGCGUGGGGAUCAAACAGGAUUAGAAACCCCAGUAGUCC